AUUCCAUGACAAGGACAAUCUUGAAUGUAUUCUUGCAAACGCUCCCAUGCUUCUAAAAUGGUUUGUCUUCUGCUAUUGGAAGUUAGUAAUCUUUCCUAUUAAGGCA
rnacentral:snoRNA from 1 species